AGUGAACGCUGGCGGUAGGCCUAACACAUGCAAGUCGAACGGCAGCACAGUAAGAGCUUGCUCUUACGGGUGGCGAGUGGCGGACGGGUGAGGAAUACAUCGGAAUCUACUUUUUCGUGGGGGAUAACGUAGGGAAGCUUACGCUAAUACCGCAUACGACCUACGGGUGAAGGCAGGGGAUCUUCGGACCUUGCGCGAUUGAAUGAGCCGAUGUCGGAUUAGCUAGUUGGCGGGGUAAAGGCCCACCAAGGCGACGAUCCGUAGCUGGUCUGAGAGGAUGAUCAGCCACACUGGAACUGAGACACGGUCCAGACUCCUACGGGAGGCAGCAGUGGGGAAUAUUGGACAAUGGGCGCAAGCCUGAUCCAGCCAUACCGCGUGGGUGAAGAAGGCCUUCGGGUUGUAAAGCCCUUUUGUUGGGAAAGAAAAGCAGCAGGUUAAUACCCCGCUGUUCUGACGGUACCCAAAGAAUAAGCACCGGCUAACUUCGUG
rnacentral:rRNA from 1 species